GGAAAUAUUGAGUUGCUGAGUUAUUUGCGCUCCGAGGGUGUUGAGGUUGAUUCAGGAAGUGAUGCCGGCACUCCUUUAAUUUGGGCUGCCGGUCAUGCUCAGCCUGAUGCUUUGAAAGUUUUGUUAGAGCACCAUGCUAACGCAGCAUUUGCUCUUUUUGUGGUUCUUUCUAUGUUAAUUAGUGUCAUUAUGAUAAAAGGUCAAAUUGUAUCUUCUUUGUGUUAUAUUGGUUUUUGAUUAAAAUAUGUGAGACACACACACACACACACACACACAGAGCGCCUUGUCUUGUGCUUCUGAGGAAAGAAUUAUUUGAAUUUUCUUAUUAUAGGAGCUUCUUGCUCUUAUUGGGAGGGGGAGUUACUUCUCUAAGGCCAAUCAUCUGUAAAUGUCUUAUGAUGUUUCACUUAUGAAUUUCAAGCCUUUUUUAUCUUCAUUUUCUGUGAAGAACAACAAUGUCAACAUGAAUAUGGAUCCUUUUGAUUUUCUGGGAAGUUAAAAAGA
rnacentral:misc_RNA from 1 species